rfam:Myotis brandtii contig237581, whole genome shotgun sequence.
GGUAGUUCUCAGGUGACAUACCCUGGAGUCAGGCUCCCUCCUCUCUGGUUCCGGGUGCAUCACUCGAGAACCACA